rnacentral:misc_RNA from 1 species
UUGAUGUGUGUCAUGGCGCACG